AUUGAACGCUGGCGGCAUGCUUUACACAUGCAAGUCGGACGGCAGCACAGAGAAGCUUGCUUCUUGGGUGGCGAGUGGCGAACGGGUGAGUAAUAUAUCGGAACGUACCGAGUAAUGGGGGAUAACUAAUCGAAAGAUUAGCUAAUACCGCAUAUUCUCUGAGGAGGAAAGCAGGGGACCUUCGGGCCUUGCGUUAUUCGAGCGGCCGAUAUCUGAUUAGCUAGUUGGUGGGGUAAAGGCCUACCAAGGCGACGAUCAGUAGCGGGUCUGAGAGGAUGAUCCGCCACACUGGGACGGAGACACGGCCCAGACUCCUACGGGAGGCAGCAGUGGGGAAUUUUGGACAAUGGGCGCAAGCCUGAUCCAGCCAUGCCGCGUGUCUGAAGAAGGCCUUCGGGUUGUAAAGGACUUUUGUCAGGGAAGAAAAGGCUGUUGCUAAUAUCGACAGCUGAUGACGGUACCUGAAGAAUAAGCACCGGCUAACUACGUG
rnacentral:rRNA from 1 species